GAGUUUGAUCCUGGCUCAGGAUGAACGCUGGCGGCGUGCCUAAUACAUGCAAGUCGAACGAAACUUCUUUAUCACCGAGUGCUUGCACUCACCGAUAAAGAGUUGAGUGGCGAACGGGUGAGUAACACGUGGGCAACCUGCCCAAAAGAGGGGGAUAACACUUGGAAACAGGUGCUAAUACCGCAUAACCAUAGUUACCGCAUGGUAACUAUGUAAAAGGUGGCUAUGCUACCGCUUUUGGAUGGGCCCGCGGCGCAUUAGCUAGUUGGUGGGGUAAAGGCUUACCAAGGCAAUGAUGCGUAGCCGAACUGAGAGGUUGAUCGGCCACAUUGGGACUGAGACACGGCCCAAACUCCUACGGGAGGCAGCAGUAGGGAAUCUUCCACAAUGGGCGAAAGCCUGAUGGAGCAACGCCGCGUGGGUGAAGAAGGUCUUCGGAUCGUAAAACCCUGUUGUUAGAGAAGAAAGUGCGUGAGAGUAACUGUUCACGUUUCGACGGUAUCUAACCAGAAAGCCACGGCUAACUACGUGCCAGCAGCCGCGGUAAUACGUAGGUGGCAAGCGUUAUCCGGAUUUAUUGGGCGUAAAGGGAACGCAGGCGGUCUUUUAAGUCUGAUGUGAAAGCCUUCGGCUUAACCGGAGUAGUGCA
rnacentral:rRNA from 1 species